rnacentral:lncRNA from 1 species
CGUCCCCUGUGUAGCCAGACUUGCAGAUGCACUUGUAUGACCUCGGGGUGUUCUGGCAGAUAGCAUCGAUGUGGCAGUUGUCAGUCCCCUCCACACACUCAUCCACAUCUGGCAGGGGCAGAGGGGGCACAUGAGAACCUCUGUUGGCACCUCUUAAGGGGUGUCUUGAAGGUGGGCUUCCAAGGGCAGAAUCCCCUCUUCUCUAAAACAGAGGCAGUGACCCCCUCCAGAAACAGGUGCUGUCUCACAUCUCUCUGAUUUCAGAGUAGGCAGACACUGAUUUUGGGAAUUCAGAAGGAACCCCCACUGCCCUCAAAAAUACUAAAUUCACAGUGACAGCUAAAACUCCAUCAUUCGAAACACUCCUUUUUUUAUUUGAAAACAAACAAAAAACCCUUAGAGUGGGUAGUACACUUAACUUGAUUAGGAAUAAUCAACUUAAAGUGAAUGAGUUUACGGAGAAGGCUUAGAGGGAAAGUUAAGGGAAAAGGCAUGGGAACAGUGGUCUCUGGGAAGGUGGCAGGGUCCAGCAAUCACUAGUAAAGGAGGAAGAAAGGGGGAUGGGGCAUCUGAGGGAUCUUCAUCUGUGUCAUGAUUCUGCUUGAGACCAGGCCUGCUUCCACUUGCCCACCAUGGAGCCAAGAAGCUUUAGAGGAAAAAUGUUCCAUCCUGGAUGAUUUUCCUCGGCCCCUGUGCUGCCAACAAUGGAGACAUCCAGAGCUGGCAGAGGUUGGCACCAGCUACCUGAAGCCUAAUAAGUGCAGCCCUUCAGGCCCUAAUCCCCAGUGUUUAGCCCUCUGUCUCCUGGCCCUAGCUCUAACAAUAGGUGCUACACACACAGCUAUACUUGAAGGAAGAGGCCACUCACCAUCUAGCAAAAAAGAGGAUGGUUAGGAAAGGACAUAGAUGAUGCCAGGCGCGGUGGCUCAUGCCUGUAAUCCCAGCACUUUGGGAGGCCAAGGCAGGUGGAUCAUGAGGUCAGGAGUUCGAGACCAGCCUGACCUUGAUGAAACCCCAUCUCUACUAAAAAUACAAAAAUUAGCCAGGUGUGGUGAUGUGUGCCUGUAAUCCCAGCUACUCAGGAGGCUGUGGCAGGAGAAUCGCUUGAACCAGGGAGGCGGAGGUUGCAGUGAGCUGAGAUCGCGCUAAUGCACUCCAGCCUGGGCGACAGUGAGACUCUAUCUCAAAAAAAAAAAAAAAAAAAAAAGGACAUAGAAAAGAGUCCAACUUCUGAGGCAAUAUUAUGGUGCCCUUAAAUCUGAACUGAAAUAGAGAAACAUGUUAUUCAGUUGAAAACGCCUUAUUGAGUGUGUUUGUGAAAGACACUAUAAUGAUAGCUGUGGAGGCUCAAAGGUGACUCAGCCCAGCCAAAAGGAGAAACAAAAAACAUGGAGCAGAAUGUGGUACAUGCCCUGAAGACAUGAGAGAUAAGGUGAGGGGGUCCUCCACCCUGCACAUCAGAGUCAACUCUCCUAGGAGAUGUCCAAGCCACAACCCCAGAGAUUCUGGUCAGAUAGCCUGGACUGGUGCCGGGCCAUCAGUAUUUUUCUAAAGCUCUUCCAGUUAUUCUAAUGUGUAGUCAAGGUUGAGAACCUGUGUUACGGGGCAGAUCAGAGGAGAAAGAGAUUACUUCCAGCUGGAAACUGGGAAACCCAAAAUAGUGUCUUAAGUAGCAGCCUGCAAGUGAGUGAUCACUGAAUGGGAGGCAUUACUCUCCUGUGAUCCCACAACUGAGCACAGAAAGGAGAUGAGAUUUGACACCAAGACAAUUUGAUAUCCAAGUGUGAUCUAUGGGCCAUAGAAUUGCCUAGGUUUUAUUAAAAUGCAGAUUCUCAGGACUCAUUAUAGCCUUUUUGAAUCCAAAUCCUUAAGUGAUUAUUUUUACUGAGUGAAUGGAUGCAUGGACCAGUAUUCUCUCCAAUUUAUAGAUACCCAGAGUCCUAGCUUGAGACAGUUAUCUGUCCUCCGCUUUUAUACUCUGAAACUUCCUGGGGCUAAGAAGAGAACUGAAAUCCCCAAACACCCUGCCUCAAAUCUCACAGGUUUCCGUUCAGCUCUUCAUUCUACCCUUCAACUCCUAUGCAGCCAACCAUCAUACCAGUUGAUUCUAAGUGCUGGGAGCCUCUGUCUACACUUACUCUCCACCUCGCUCAGGCUCCAUAGGCAUGGUGUCUACCUGCUGGCCCAUCCUGGGAAGUCAUCCCAACGUGACAGAAUGGAAAAGAGAGGGCAUGGAAGACUAGUUCAUAGGUAAGGGCAAGAGGGACCUCGCAGAUGGUAAGGUGCUCUGUGGAGAAUCAGUUUGUCCAACUGAUAAACAGAAAACAGUACAAAGAAAUGUGCUAUCACAGAACGAUCUUAAGCACUGGAACCAGUCAGUCCCAGAUUCAAAUCCAGCUCUACCCUUCUCUAGGGAUGGUUUUCUUAUUCUCCAUCUCCUCCCCCUUAAAAUGGGGAUGAUAAUACCUCCUCAUGAGAGGCUGUGAGUAGCUGAUGGGAUAAUUUGUGUAAAUUGGCUAAUAAAGUAUCUGGUAAACAGUAGGGUCCCAAUACAGGAAGCUUGAGAUGGUAUUAAAUCACUGGUCAGGCAAUAGAUGCUCGAGACAGUAUGACAGCCACUAGCCACAUGUGGUUAUUUAAUUUAAAAUUCACUUCCUCAGUUGCACUAGCCACAGGCCAAAUGCGCAAUAGCCACAUGUGGCUAGUGGCUACCAUGGCGGAAAGCAUAGAUAUGGAACAUUUCCAACACCACAGAAAUAGCACUGCUAUUAGCACACCACAGGAUAGCACUGCUCUGGGGUUCUGAAUAAGAGAUACUCCCUGGGUCCAGCAGCACGGAUACUGGUCUGGAACUGCUCCCCUGACCAUAUCAGAGGUAUGUGCCUGUGACUGAAUCAGCUGGUGCUUCACUAGAGACUGUGUCAGACUAUAUGGGCUCCCAAUUCUUUCCUUUGCCUCCCAUUCAGUGCUCACCAGUACUAGAGUGGAUCUUGAUGCUGAUCACCACAAACCCAGGCCUCCCAGCAGAUUCUUUUUUUUUUUUUUUUUUUUUUUUUUGAGAUGAAGUCUCGGUCUGUCACCCAGGCUGGAGUACAGUAGUGGUGUGAUCUCGGCUCACUGCAACCUCUGCCUCCCAGGUUCAAGCUAUUCUUCUGCCUCAGCCUCCUGAGUAUCUGGGAUUACAGGCAUGUGCCACCACACUUGGCUAAUUUUUGUAUUAUUAAUAGAGACAUGGUUUUGCCACAUUGGCCAGGCUGGUCUCG